GUCUGCUCCGGGACUUGGAACAAAAGGGGGAACUCUGAUGAACUCUCUUUCCUCCCCUCUCCCCCGGACGCCGGGGUAUCUCCCUCUCGCAACUUUGCCGCCCCGACUUUCUCUGCUGUCAGGCCGGGAAAAAGUGUCCGAACGCCUCGUGGACUGCAGCGGGGGAAAUGUCCCUUAAAAGUGCGACGAAGUGGGGAAGAAGGUGUAAUUACUAUUAUCAGCAUCUAGAAAGCAUCAUGAAUUUGCUGGAGUACUUCCUAGCACUGACCUCCUUCAUUCUGCGUUGUUCUUACUGGAUCUUUCCAUCAGCCAACAAUAUGGAAGUACCAAUACAAGGUCAAAUCAUUCCUGGAUUCAUCUGGAGUUGCUUAAAAGUUAAAUCAUUGGAAUUUUUGAUGAUACCUUUUCUAUAUGGAUUACAAUUUGAUCGCUGGGAAUUCUCCACCUUAAAGAAGUACCCUCAGGUGACUACAGAUGUGUUAACACCCAGCAUGUUCCGGUAGGAGACUUUCUGGAUGGGGAAGAUUUCCAGGAAUUGGCAACAAGCUCAUUUCACUGGUGGGUUUGCUGAAGCAUUAUCACAAGACAGUCAGAAUGACUGAUGAGUGCUCUUCAGGUGUGAAUCAUGGCAAUACAGUGAAAGACAGUGAUUUACUGCUUUUGAGGGCGUGCAUGUAUAUGAUUAACGGAUGGAAGUGCAGGACUCCAAGAUUUACUUCCUUCCCUUUCCAGCAGAAUUACCUGAGACGAGUAAAAUCUACUGGUGGAGUCACUCCAUUAUUCUUAUCUGUGGAGAUCUAGAUCUUGAUUUGAAAGUUUCUGAGAAAAUCUUCAGCUCAGACUUGAGGGUCAACUUUACCAGCUGAAGGAUCUGCAUUUACUGCUCAACCACAUCUAAUUUGAUGUCCUCUGCAGAUUUAAAAUGUGUGCCUUCUUUUCCGUCACCAAGUCAUCCCUGGGUUACUACUGAACAUCCUUCUCAAUUCCCCCCGACCCAUGGAUGGCUGUUCUCCAUUGUCUGUUUCACCAGAUGUCCUCAAAACAAACAGACAGAAGAAGGAAGUGGCUAAUGGAGCUGUGGAGUCCAAGUGUGACUGCCAAGAGGAAUCCAGCAAAGCCAAAAAGCCCAAGCAUGUAGCCCUGCCCGAAGCACGCCACACGCAUGGAAAACCCAGAGGAAAUGAGUGAGGAUCAAUGGGAAGAAGAGAGCCAGCCAGGAAGUUGAAGAUUUGUCCAGGAGCAGAUAGCUGAAGAGAGAGAGAGAGAAGAGAGAACGGCUUACAGCUCAGGUCCUCUCUCCAUGCUUAGGAACCACUACAAAUGCUACUGCCUUGAGUCUCAUUUUGUUUCCCUCUGGAAACCACAUGUGUACCUUGUUUGCAACAGUAUGGGCUCACAGGCAGAAGGAAUUUUCCUUGUCUUGGAUGAGACUUUUGACUUGGACUUUUGGGUUAAGUUCUGGAGACCAGAAGGCCAAAAUCAAAAGUAUGGGCAGGCUUGAUUUCUUUAGAAGACUCCAGCGGAGAACUGUGUCUCCUUGCUUCUGAUUCUACAUCUCCAUCCAUGGGCCACUGUUUCAGCAACCUCAGCCAGUGCAACACAACCUCAGCCAAGAAGAGUAUGCAGAGAAAGGAGUCCCCUACCUGCCACAAAACUGUUGUCUGAAAACUGUCUCAUAUUGUCUCAAGUUGUCAUUCAUUGUGAAUUAGACCUGUUUAACAUGUAAUCUGCAACAUGCUUCACUGUCUAAUUUUCCAGAGCCCCUCAUAUAAGGAACUGUAUUAUUGGUAUAAUCAUCAUGGUGAAGAAGUUGGUAUGUGGGGGAGAGAUGACAGAAACAGAGAGUAAGUCAGAGCUGGCUGCCUGACAGAUAAAAAGGAAAUGACCAAAAAAAAAAAAAAA
rnacentral:lncRNA from 10 species